rnacentral:rRNA from 1 species
ACCUGCGGAAGGAUCAUUACCGAGAACGCCCUGGGGAUGCUUGCUGGCCCGUAACGAACGGGCAUGUGCACUCCCCGGAGUUUUUCCAGUGAACCCUCACUUGACACCAUGUGCACCUUUUGUAGGCUCGAGAAAUUGGCCUACGUUUACACACACAUACCACACUUUGAAUGUAUUUUGUUGGCAAAAUAAUUUGAAACACAACUUUCAACAAUGGAUCUCUUGGCUCUCGCAUCGAUGAAGAACGCAGCGAAAUGCGAUACGUAAUGUGAAUUGCAGAAUUCCGUGAAUCAUCGAAUCUUUGAACGCACCUUGCGCCCCUUGGUAUUCCGAGGGGCAUGCCUGUUUGAGUGUCAUUGAAUUCUCAAAAACCCGAACCUCGCGGUUCAGGCUUUUGGAUAUGGAGAGUGCCGGCCUUCAACCGAGUUUGGCUCCUCUGAAAAGCAUUAGCAAAACCCUAUCCCCGAUGGCUUUGUUGGCAUUGAUAAGACCGUCCAUGCCUUUGCCCUCCGGCGGAAAGCGGUUGCUUCGACAAUCGUCUGAAGUGACAGACAAUUUUUAACCUUGACCAUUGACCUCAAAUCAGGUAGGACUACC